rnacentral:rRNA from 1 species
GGGUCAGUAGGUUGGUCGUGCCACCGGUACGUACUGGUCUCACUGAUUCCUCCUUCCUGAAGAACCGUAAUGCCAUUAAUUUGGUGUUGCGGGGAAACAGGACUGUUACUUUGAAAAAAUUAGAGUGUUUAAAGCAAGCUAACGCCUGAAUACAUUAGCAUGGAAUAAUGAAAUAGGACGAUCGAUCCUAUUUUGUUGGUUUCUAGGAUUGACGUA